UUGUUUGAAGUAUGCGGAAAGAACAGAAUUCUGAAAGACUUAACAGCUGUUUCCCUCCAUCUCUUCUUCAUCAGUUAGGUAUUUGAAGAGCAAGACCUCUAGCUGAGGACAAGAACUACUGCAACUAGGUUAUAAAAUGAAAAGCCCACACAGGAAAAUAGCAGAACCUCUCCAACAAAAACAAGGAAAAGGUUUGCUUGUUUCUUAAGAAAAUUGUGGCCAGAUUGAGUGGUCUCAAAGGAAUGAUGUUCACCGAGUUUUUUUUGACUGACCUCCCAAGUUCAAAUUCUGUGAAAUAAGGAAGUGUGUGGAGAGACAUCUGGGCAAAAAUAGCUGGAGAAAGAAGACACAGAUCCGCCUUGAUUGUGCAACCAGAGAAGUUGUACAAAGGGAGAACUGAAACUGACCAUCUGCUAAGCUAUCAACCACUACUCUUACUUAAGGAACAGAACCUGAUUGAAAUUGAUGAAUACAAGGAAAUUAGCAAAUAAGCACGAGUGCAUCUCUUUUCUUUCUCAAAUAAAAG